GACGAACGCUGGCGGCGUGCUUAACACAUGCAAGUCGAACGGAAAGGCCCUGCCUUUGUGGGGUGCUCGAGUGGCGAACGGGUGAGUAACACGUGAGUAACCUGCCCUUGACUUUGGGAUAACUUCAGGAAACUGGGGCUAAUACCGGAUAGGAGCUCCUGCUGCAUGGUGGGGGUUGGAAAGUUUCGGCGGUUGGGGAUGGACUCGCGGCUUAUCAGCUUGUUGGUGGGGUAGUGGCUUACCAAGGCUUUGACGGGUAGCCGGCCUGAGAGGGUGACCGGCCACAUUGGGACUGAGAUACGGCCCAGACUCCUACGGGAGGCAGCAGUGGGGAAUAUUGCACAAUGGGCGGAAGCCUGAUGCAGCAACGCCGCGUGCGGGAUGACGGCCUUCGGGUUGUAAACCGCUUUCGCCUGUUACGAAGCGUGAGUGACGGUAAUGGGUAAAGAAGCACCGGCUAACUACGUG
rnacentral:rRNA from 1 species